rnacentral:rRNA from 1 species
AUCCCAAAGGAAAUUUAGGGGGCCCCGCCCCCAACCGGGUGGGCCAAAGGGGUUAAAAUUUAAAAGCCACCGGAAAAGAAACCUUUACCCGGUUCUUGCAAUCCCCCUGGGAAAAAAAGGGUAAGGCAUCUUGGAAUACCGGGACCCCAGGAAACAGGUGGGGCAAGGUUGUUGUCAGUUCGGUUCGUNANAUGUNGGGUUAAGUCCCGCACGGAGCGCNACCCCUGGCCCCCAGUAGCANGCAUGUAAAGGUGGGCACUUUGAGGGACCAGCCGGGGAUAACCCGAAGGAAGGCGGGGAUGACGUCAAAUCAUCAUGCCCCUUAUGACCGGGGCUACACACGUGCUACAAUGGCGUAAACAAAGGGAAGCGAGAGUGCGAGCUUAAGCGAACCCCAAAAAUAACGCCUCAGUUCGGAUUGCAGCCUGCAACUCGGCUGCAUGAAGUUGGAAUCGCUAGUAAUCGCGGAUCAGAAUGCCGCGGUGAAUACGUUCCCGGGUCUUGUACACACCGCCCGUCACACCAUGGGAGUCGGGAAUGCCCGAAGUCGGUGACCUAACCGAAAGGGAGGAGCCGCCGAAGGCAGGCCUGGUAACUGGGGUGAAGUCGUAACAAGG